UGGAUCACCUCCUAACAGGGAGACAACAAAAUGUUAAAUAUUAAUUUUGUCACCUUAGGUCGAUCGGUAUCUCACAUUCUUAAUUUAUUAAGGAUUUUAUUUCCUAAGUUUUUUCUAGGUCACACCCAUUACUUUUCCUGGGCCAUUAGCUCAGGUGGUUAGAGCGCACCCCUGAUAAGGGUGAGGUCCCUGGUUCAAGUCCAGGAUGGCCCAUAUCUCUAUGUUGGGGGUAUAGCUCAGUUGGUAGAGCGCCUGCUUUGCAAGCAGGAUGUCAGCGGUUCGAGUCCGCUUACCUCCACUGAUUACCACCUCUUCCAUAAUUAUUUAGGAAAUGUUUUGAGUAGUGAUCAAAUUCUGAACGAAUCUAGCUUCCUAAUGAAUUCAUUAAGAUGCUGGACUCAUUGAAUUAUUUUCAUUGUUUUCAGAGAACCUUGACAACUGCAUAGAUUAUUUUUAAAGACAAUAAGCAUCUUUAUGAUGCAGAUUUAUUAUUUGUGCGAAUGCAUUAAUAACAAUUCUAUUAAGCUGACGCUUCAAUUAUGAAGUUAUUGGUCAAGCUACAAAGGGCUCACGGAGGAUACCUAGGCACACAGAGGCGAUGAAGG
rnacentral:tRNA from 1 species